rnacentral:rRNA from 1 species
AGUGAACGUUGGCGGCGUGGAUUAGGCAUGCGAGUCGAGCGAGAACCGUAGCAAUACGGGGACAGCGGCGAAAGGGACAGUAAUAUGUAGGUACCUACCCUCGGGUCCGGGAUAGCUGCGGGAAACUGCAGGUAAUACCGGAUGAUAUCUCCGGAUCAAAGGUGUGAUUCCGCCCGGGGAGGGGCCUGCAUCCUAUUAGCUUGUUGGUGGGCAACCGGCCUACCAAGGCGACGAGGGGUAGCGGGUGUGAGAGCAUGACCCGCGUCCUUGGGACUGAGAAACUGCCCAGACACCUACGGGUGGCUGCAGUCGAGAAUCUUCGGCAAUGGGGGCAACCCUGACCGAGCGACGCCGCGUGCGGGAUGAAGGCCUUCGGGUUGUAAACCGCUGUCUUAGAGGAGGAAAUGCAGGGGGGUUCUCCCCUCUGUUUGACCUAUGCUAGGAGUAAGGACGGGCUAAGUUCGUGCCAGCCGCCGCCGUAA